GGGCUCAUAGUAUAGUGGUAGUACACCUGAUUUGCAAUCAGGGGGCACGAGUUCGAUUCUCGUUGGGUCCA
rnacentral:tRNA from 1 species